rnacentral:lncRNA from 1 species
CCGCCACGGCUUCUUGCCUCAUUGGUUUCACCUUUAGGAUGGCAUAGUUCUUAGGGAUUUUUCUCCGUUUCCACUUUGUUAAUAAACUUCUUAACAUAUUAUUCUUCGAAUAAUUCUACUAUAAAGUAACUAAUAUGAAUUUAUUUUAUCAUAUCAUGAUUGUUGGGAAUUAUGAAUUUAGCUAUUCAUAAUCAUAAAUAAAUAUAC